rnacentral:siRNA from 1 species
UUGGUUUUAGGUUGGAAGCCC